UACAUAGGGAGCAAGCGUUAUCCGGAUUUAUUGGGUGUAAAGGGUGCGUAGACGGGAAAUUAAGUUAGUUGUGAAAUCCCUCGGCUUAACUGAGGAACUGCAACUAAAACUGAUUUUCUUGAGUACUGGAGAGGAAAGUGGAAUUCCUAGUGUAGCGGUGAGAUGCUUAGAGAUCAUACAGAACACCGAUUGCGAAGGCAGCUUACCAAGCUACUUCUGACGUUGAGGCACGAAAGCGUGGGGAGCAAACAGG
rnacentral:rRNA from 1 species